AUGGACGGCUUCCGGGCCCUGAUCGCCGCCGCGGCCACCGCCGUCUGCUGCGUCGUCUGCGCCAUCUGGGCAUUCCGCUCCCCUUCCCCCCCUCCCCCCAAGAAGCAGCAGCCCAUUCCUUCAGGCUGCUGCAGCUGCGCUUCCUGUGGUUGCUGCGCCAAUACCACUUUCCCCAGCGCCAACGGCGAGAUGGCCGUCGGCGGGGAGAUGAACAAGGCGCCGGCGCCAGCACCUGCAACGACGGGCGCCUCCAUGAUGGAGCAGCUCGUGCCUGAGAUCACCACCCACGCGCUCAGCUACCUCGACUGUACUAGCCUCUGCCGCCUCUCGAUGACCAACUCAGCCAUGCGCCGUGCCGCCAACGACGACGGGGCUUGGAAGGCGCUCUACCACAAGGAUUUUACAGCGGAGCAGGAUACUAUAACUCCGCCUAACGGAUGGAAGGCAUACUAUGCAGCUACAAAGGCCAUCAUGAAUGUGAAUGCCGAGUUCUAUAAUAUCAUCAGGGAAGGAUCCUUGCCAGCAAUGAGUCACUUCUGGCUUAACUCAGACUAUGUAAAAUGUGUACAUGCUACUGGAGAACUUUUUACCGGAUACAAUGCAGUGAUGAACAGCUGGGGCUUGUUAUUCAACUGGGGCCAAGAUGGAGGCCAGGGCACUGAUUUUCAGCUACGGGAUGUCAGAGCUCGUGUACUUGCUGAUGUAGCAUGGGUUAACAUGAAGGUUCAUGUCGAUGUUGACCCAGGGCCGUUCCAUGUGACCAAUGUAUACGAGUUCCAUAAUGGCAGGUGGUAUAUGGUUCAUCACCAUAGCUCGCUCAUGGCUGACCCGGCGCCACAUAAUCUGUUUGGCUGA
rnacentral:rRNA from 1 species